AUUUCAGUAAGUUGUGAUUUAAAAAUAAUUUAUUAUGUAACUUUUAAUUAGUUAAUUAGGAUUUUAAAAAAAACAUAAGAAAAUUUAGUCUCAUGGUGGCAUGUAUGCUUGUGCUUGGUGUGAAGGAGAAUGUGAAUUUUUUGGUGGGUUGACAAGAACAUUUUUAUCAUUGGAUCUAUGGCAUCGGAGAUACAUGGAAGCUGGUUAUCGAAGUUCUGAAAUGAAAGAUUAUAAGAAUGUGGUGAAUGUAUGCCUAAUAAAGGAGAGAAACAAGUCAAAACUAGUUCUUGAAGUCAUUCCUUUGCCGGAGCUUCAUAUGUUAAUGGGAUUUGUAAAUCAUAUAUCAACUUAUAUAAUUGUUUAUUGGCCUGAAUACAAAGACUGGGUCGACUCACUUGGAUGUAUUAGAAGAGGAUACCAUGGGGGAACAUAUGAAGGCAAUACAUGUAGGAUUGUUCUUAAAAACUGUAACCAAGGCUUUCACUAAGGCUACCAAUUGAACUCUUACCACUUCUAUGUCCAAUGAGAAAAUUUGAGAAAUUAGUUCAAGGAACCUUCGGAAGUUAUCUUAACCCUUGUUAUCUUCAAUUAAUAACUGACGUUGGUUGUUCCUACAAAGCCACACAGGAGUAUUGUUCAGAGUUUCUAGGAAAGAAACUUACUGUGACCUGGAAAAUACAUAUAAUCUCAGCUCACUUGCAACAAUUUAUUGAACUUACUGGUCAUUCUCUUGGACGAUACAAUGAACAGGCAUCUGAAUCGGCUCAUUCAAAAAUGAAGCCAAUAAUUGAACGAUUCAAUGUUUCACAAACAAGCUCAAA